AUCACCUCUCAAGCCUGGCUUGCUGUUGGACUUUAGGUCUUGCUUUAGCUAUGACCGGUCCCAAAGUUAAUGACGGCGUCUGUGAGGACCCCAGUACACUGAGCUUUAUUGCACGUACUUGGUGGGAGCCCAGGCCCGGUCUUACUUAUUAUCUUACUAAGAUUGACCUCGGAUCAGGUAGGAAUACCCGCUGAACUUAA
rnacentral:misc_RNA from 1 species